rnacentral:rRNA from 1 species
GACGAACACUGGCGGCGUGCUUAACACAUGCAAGUCGAACGGAAAGGCCCCUUUGGGGGUACUCGGGUGGCGAACGGGUGAGUAACACGUGAGUAACCUGCCCUUGACUUCGGGAUAACUUCAGGAAACUGGGGCUAAUACCGGAUAGGAAUCCUUGCUGCAUGGUGGGGGUUGGAAAGCUUCGGCGGUUUUGGAUGGACUCGCGGCUUAUCAGCUUGUUGGUGGGGUAGUGGCUUACCAAGGCUUUGACGGGUAGCCGGCCUGAGAGGGCGACCGGCCACAUUGGGACUGAGAUACGGCACAGCCUACUACGGGAGGCAGCAGUGGGGAAUAUUGCACAAUGGGCGGAAGCCUGAUGCAGCAACGCCGCGUGCGGGAUGACGGCCUUCGGGUUGUAAACCGCUUUCAGCAGGGGCGAAGCUUGUGGUGAAGGUACCUGCAGAAGAAGCACCGGCUAACUACGG